AUUGAACGCUGGCGGCAGGCCUUACACAUGCAAGUCGAGCGAGAAAUUUUCUUCGGAAAAGAGUAAAGCGGCGGACGGGUGAGUAACGCGUAGGAAUCUACCUAGUAGUGGGGGACAACAUGUGGAAACGCAUGCUAAUACCGCAUACGCCCUAUGGGGGAAAGCAGGGGAUCUUCGGACCUUGCGCUAUUAGAUGAGCCUGCGUCGGAUUAGUUUGUUGGUAGGGUAAUGGCCUACCAAGACUACGAUCCGUAGCUGGUCUGAGAGGAUGAUCAGCCACACUGGGACUGAGACACGGCCCAGACUCCUACGGGAGGCAGCAGUGGGGAAUAUUGGACAAUGGGCGCAAGCCUGAUCCAGCCAUGCCGCGUGUGUGAAGAAGGCUCUAGGGUUGUAAAGCACUUUCAGUAGGGAGGAAAAGUUAGUAGUUAAUAACUGCUAGCCCUGACGUUACCUACAGAAGAAGCACCGGCAAACUCCGUGCCAGCAGCCGCGGUAAUACGGAGGGUGCGAGCGUUAAUCGGAAUUACUGGGCGUAAAGCGCGCGUAGGCGGUUUGAUAAGCUGGAUGUGAAAGCCCCGGGCUCAACCUGGGAACUGCAUCCAGAACUGUCUGACUAGAAUACAAUAGAGGUGAGUGGAAUUUCCUGUGUAGCGGUGAAAUGCGUAGAUAUAGGAAGGAACAUCAGUGGCGAAGGCGACUCACUGGAUUGAUAUGAC
rnacentral:rRNA from 1 species